rnacentral:rRNA from 1 species
GGCGGCGUGCUUCACACAUGCAAGUCGAACGGAAAGGCCCGCUUGCGGGUACUCGAGUGGCGAACGGGUGAGUAACACGUGGGUAACCUGCCCCCAUCUCUGGGAUAACCGUUGGAAACGGCGGCUAAUACCGGAUACGACCAUUGCCUGCAUGGGUGAUGGUGGAAAGUUUUUGCGGUUGGGGAGGGGCCCGCGGCCUAUCAGCUGGUUGGUGGGGUGAUGGCCUACCAAGGCGUUGACGGGUAGCCGGCCUGAGAGGGCGGUCGGUCACAUUGGGACUGAGAUACGGCCCAGACUCCUACGGGAGGCAGCAGUGGGGAAUUUUGCACAAUGGGCGCAAGCCUGAUGCAGCGACGCCGCGUGAGGGAUGACGGCUUUCGGGUUGUAAACCUCUUUUAUCCACCACGAAGGCCAGGUAUUCGCCUGGUUGACGGUAGUGGUUGAAUAAGCGCCGGCUAACUACGUGCCAGCAGCCGCGGUAAGACGUAGGGCGCGAGCGUUGUCCGGAUUUAUUGGGCGUAAAGGGCUCGUAGGCGGUUGAUUGCGUCCGCCGUGAAAGGCCUCGGCUUAACCGGGGUUUUGCGGUGGAUACGGGUCGACUUGAGGCAAUUAGGGGAGAUCGGAAUUCUACGUGUAGCGGUGAAAUGCGCAGAUAUGUGGAGGAACACCGGUGGCGAAGGCGGAUCUCUGGGAUUGUUCUGACGCUGAGGAGCGAAAGCAUGGGGAGCGAACAGGAUUAGAUACCCUGGUAGUCCAUGCUGUAAACGGUGGGCGCUAGGUGUGGGGUCACGUUGGUUGAUUCUGUGCCGUAGCUAACGCAUUAAGCGCCCCGCCUGGGGAGUACGGCCGC